rnacentral:rRNA from 1 species
GGGCCCGCACAAGCGGUGGAGCAUGUGGUUUAAUUCGAUGCAACGCGAAGAACCUUACCAGGCCUUGACAUCCUCGGAACUUUCUAGAGAUAGAUUGGUGCCUUCGGGAACCGAGUGACAGGUGCUGCAUGGCUGUCGUCAGCUCGUGUCGUGAGAUGUUGGGUUAAGUCCCGUAACGAGCGCAACCCUUGUCCUUAGUUGCCAUCAUUAAGUUGGGCACUCUGAAAGAACUGCCAGUGAUAAGCUGGAGGAAGGUGGGGAUGACGUCAAGUCCUCAUGGCCCUUACGUCCUGGGCCACACACGUGCUACAAUGGUUGGUACAGAGGGCAGCUACCUAGUGAUAGGAUGCA